UGCUGUUAGAAUGACUGGUGGUCGU
rnacentral:piRNA from 1 species